rnacentral:rRNA from 1 species
CCCUUAGAUGUCCUGGGCUGCACGCGCGCUACACUGAUGUGUCCAGUAAGCACCUAACCUCUUCCGAAAGGAACGGGUAACCUUUGCAAAGCACAUCGUGAUGGGGAUAGAUUAUUGCAAUUAUUAGUCUUGAACGAGGAAUUCCUAGUAAGCACAAGUCAUCAGCUUGUGUUGAUUACGUCCCUGCCCUUUGUACACACCGCCCGUCGCUCCUACCGAUUGAAUGUUCCGGUGAGCUCUUCGGACUGCGCGGUCUGCUGUUUCUGCGUUCCGUGCGGAAAGUUGCGCAAACCUUAACAUUUAGAGGAAGGAGAAGUCGUAACA